rnacentral:rRNA from 1 species
AUGUCUAAGUAUAAAUAGUAUACAGUGAAACUGCCGAAUGGCUCAUUAAAACAGUUAUAGUUUAUUUGAUAAUUGAAUGCUACAUGGAUAACCGGUGGUAAUUCUAGAGCUAAUACAUGCUGUAAAACCUGACUUUUUGAAGGGUUGUAUUUAUUAGAUAUUAAACCAAUAGCCGCAAGGCUGUUGUGAUGAUUCAUAAUAGCUGAUCGAAGCGAGGCCAGCCUCGCUAAAUCAUUCAAGUUUCUGCCCUAUCAGCUUUCGAUGGUAGUGUAUUGGACUACCAUGGCAAUCACGGGUAACGGGGAAUUAGGGUUCGAUUCCGGAGAGGGAGCCUGAGAAACGGCUACCACUUCUAAGGAAGGCAGCAGGCGCGUAAAUUACCCAAUCCCGAUUCGGGGAGGUAGUGACAAGAAAUAACAACUCGGGUCCUUCGGGAUUACGAGAUUGCAAUGAGAACAAUUUAGAUCACUUAACGAGGAUCAAUUGGAGGGCAAGUCUGGUGCCAGCAGCCGCGGUAAUUCCAGCUCCAAUAGCGUAUAUUAAAGUUGUUGCAGUUAAAAAGCUCGUAGUUGAACUUCUGGCUAUUGCUUUAGCUGGCUUCGGUCGCUAAAGUCGUGGUCAUCCGCUAGGGAACUACGUUCGGACUUCACUGUUCGGCGUAAGGAACUGGCAUUUUACUUUGAAAAAAUUAGAGUGUUCAAGGCAGGCUAUCGCCCUGAAUACACAAGCAUGGAAUAAUGAAAUAGGACUACUUCCAUUUUAUUGGUUAUUGGAAAUAGU